AUUGAACGCUGGCGGCAGGCCUAACACAUGCAAGUCGAGCGGGGUUUUCGGACCUAGCGGCGGACGGGUGAGUAAUGCGUAGGAAGCUGCCCGAUAGAGGGGGAUACCAGUUGGAAACGACUGUUAAUACCGCAUAAUGUCUACGGACCAAAGUGUGGGACCUUCGGGCCACAUGCUAUCGGAUGCGCCUACGUGGGAUUAGCUAGUUGGUGAGGUAAUGGCUCACCAAGGCGACGAUCUCUAGCUGGUUUGAGAGGAUGAUCAGCCACACUGGAACUGAGACACGGUCCAGACUCCUACGGGAGGCAGCAGUGGGGAAUAUUGGACAAUGGGCGCAAGCCUGAUCCAGCCAUGCCGCGUGUGUGAAGAAGGCCUUCGGGUUGUAAAGCACUUUCAGCGAGGAGGAAGGGUGAUGUGUUAAUAGCACAUCAUUUUGACGUUACUCGCAGAAGAAGCACCGGCUAACUCUGUGCCAGCAGCCGCAGUAA
rnacentral:rRNA from 1 species